rnacentral:rRNA from 1 species
AAUCAACGCUGGCGGCGUGCCUAACACAUGCAAGUCGAACGAGAAAGUGGUAGCAAUACCAUGAGUAAAGUGGCGCACGGGUGAGUAACACGUGACUAACCUACCUUGGAGUUCGGAAUAACCUCGGGAAACCGGGGCUAAUACCGGAUAACACCUACGGGUCAAAGGAGCAAUUCGCUCUGAGAGGGGGUCGCGGCUGAUUAGCUAGUUGGCAGGGUAAUGGCCUACCAAGGCGACGAUCAGUAUCCGGCCUGAGAGGGCGCACGGACACACUGGAACUGAAACACGGUCCAGACUCCUACGGGAGGCAGCAGUGGGGAAUUUUGCACAAUGGGGGAAACCCUGAUGCAGCAACGCCGCGUGGAGGAUGAAGGUCUUUGGAUUGUAAACUCCGUUCGAACGGGACGAUAAUGACU